UGCUGGAACGCGCUUCGGCGCACCCAGAAACCCUUUGUGAACUUAUACCUAUCUGUUGCCUCGGCGUAGGCCGGCCUCUUCACUGAGGCCCCCUGGAAACAGGGAGCAGCCCGCCGGCGGCCAACUAAACUCUUGUUUCUAUAGUGAAUCUCUGAGUAAAAACAUAAAUGAAUCAAAACUUUCAACAACGGAUCUCUUGGUUCUGGCAUCGAUGAAGAACGCAGCGAAAUGCGAUAAGUAAUGUGAAUUGCAGAAUUCAGUGAAUCAUCGAAUCUUUGAACGCACAUUGCGCCCUCUGGUAUUCCGGAGGGCAUGCCUGUUCGAGCGUCAUUUCAACCCUCAAGCCUGGCUUGGUGAUGGGGCACUGCCUUCUAGCGAGGGCAGGCCCUGAAAUCUAGUGGCGAGCUCGCUAGGACCCCGAGCGUAGUAGUUAUAUCUCGUUCUGGAAGGCCCUGGCGGUGCCCUGCCGUUAAACCCCCAACUUCUGAAAAUUUGACCUCGGAUCAGGUAGGAAUACCCGCUGAACUUAAGCAUAUCA
rnacentral:rRNA from 2 species